rnacentral:lncRNA from 1 species
UCAGGGGUUACUUCAUUUAAUAGUCUGCAUUUCUAAUAUUUAAAAGGAAAAUCAUGAGAGUGAAUGCAAAAGUAUGUAGCUAUUAUCAACAGAGGCAGUGUACAUAGGCGUCUCAAUAUUGUUUUUGGUAUUUCAUAUAAAAGAAGAUCAAGCCUAAGAUUUCUCAUCCGUAAGUCUCUUUGAUGGGCUGGCAGAGAAAGAACCUGACACUUUUAGUAUGUUGUCUGAGAAUCACAGCUUACAGUUACUCGAUGUCUUCUGGUCUCACAGGAUGGGGCAGAGGUAUAAUUGAUUUCUUCUCUGUAUCCCUAGAAAGAGCUUUUCUCAUAUCAUAAGCAUCUUCAUCUGGCUCUCCGUUGCUAGCAGAGUAGUACUCUAACACUGUCCGGUACACACUGUAGCCUAGUUGCUUAUACAUAUUUACUGCAACCUGAUUUGAUACUCUCACAAAGAGAUCAACAAAAAAUCCACUUCUCUGAAAUUUCUUCCAGUAGUUCCAUCAGUUUGGCAGCCAAACCCAGACGCCGAAAUUCCGGUGCAACAGAGAGCGCAGUAACAUGGCCAUGCCACUCUUCUCUAGCCACAGAGCCUUCUGCUUUACCCAUUAUGUAACCCAUGAGCUCCCCGCCC